UACGUAGGGUGCAAGCGUUGUCCGGAAUCAUUGGGCGUAAAGCGCGUGUAGGCAGCUUGGCAAGUCGGGUGUGAAAGCCCUGGGCUCAACCUAGGAAGUGCACUCGAAACUGCUUCGCUUGAGUAUCGGAGAGGAAAGCGGAAUUCUCGGUGUAGAGGUGAAAUUCGUAGAUAUCGAGAGGAACACCAGUGGCGAAGGCGGCUUUCUGGACGAUCACUGACGCUGAGACGCGAAAGCGUGGGGAGCAAACAGG
rnacentral:rRNA from 1 species